CUCCAGACUCCUACGGGAGGCAGCAGUGAGGAAUAUUGGUCAAUGGGCUUACGCCUGAACCAGCCAAGUCGCGUGAGGGAAGACUGCCCUAUGGGUUGUAAACCUCUUUUGUCAGGGAGCAAUUGGCGCUACGUGUAGCGUUAUCGAGAGUACCUGAAGAAAAAGCAUCGGCUAACUCCGUGCCAGCAGCCGCGGUAAUACGGAGGAUGCGAGCGUUAUCCGGAUUUACUGGGUGUAAAGGGAGCGUAGACGGCAUAGCAAGUCUGAAGUGAAAGCCCGUGGCUCAACCGCGGAACUGCUUUGGAAACUGUUAAGCUGGAGUACUGGAGAGGCAAGCGGAAUUCCUAGUGUAGCGGUGAAAUGCGUAGAUAUUAGGAGGAACACCAGUGGCGAAGGCGGCUUGCUGGACAGAGACUGACGUUGAGGCUCGAAAGCGUGGGGAGCAAACAGGAUUAGAUACCCCAGUAA
rnacentral:rRNA from 1 species